rnacentral:rRNA from 1 species
GACAGAGGUGCCGAGCGUUAGGCGGAAUCACUGGGCUUAAAGCGUGUGUAGGCGGACCGUUAAGUACCUUGUGAAAUCCCCCGGCUCAACCGGGGAACGGCUGGGUAUACUGGCGGUCUUGAGCCAUCCAGGGGCAGUCGGAACAGACGGUGGAGCGGUGAAAUGCGUAGAUAUCGUCUGGAACGGCCAAAGGUGAAAACAGACUGCUGGGGAUGCGCUGACGCUGAGACACGAAAGCCAGGGGAGCCGAACGGGG